GUACUUGCUUCAGCAGCACAUAUGGUAAAAUUGGAAUGAUACAGAGAUUAGCCUAGCCCUUGCACAAGGAUGACACAAAAAUUCAUGAAGCAUUCCAUAUUUUU